GUGGAGGAGGAUGCCAAGAAAAAGGCCAAUGAAUCAGUGACUCUGCCAAAGCCGGAGGAUGUCCUGGAAAAUGAAUAUGAUGAAGCUGGAGAAGUUUCAGCCUUUGACCUUUAUGCUGGUUCCCUCCCAAAUCAUAAGGGACCACAGGGGCACUCUGAAGAAAGAAGCUGGAAGAACAAUGUAUUGGACAAGUGCACUUUGCUCCCCUUGAGAGGAGGCUCUGUUUUAGGAUUGGAAGAAGGGAGCUAUGAUGAUAUCGAUUUCAGCAUCAUGGAGAAUUAACCGUCAAAUCCAAGUUUGAAGGCAGCAUUCUUGUCAGUUAUGCAUAUUCUGCAGCUUUUCUGUGGUCUAGUUGUUUCUUGCUUUAAUGUUUU
rnacentral:lncRNA from 1 species